GCUGGAUGUUAACUUGCAGAAGAGAGGACGGAUUUGAAUCUUUAAUGGCAUCUGAACGAUGGGAGGAUUUGUUGUGAACUUAAAGCAUUCAUAUUUUCGAUCAUCAUCGAUGCUCAAUCGAAGACUUUACACCUCCCUCGCUUACUCAAACCUCUAUCCACCUCCUUGUAGAAAAUCAUCGAACCCUUUUCUCAUUUCUCAUCGAGAAAGUAGUUCCAUUAGACCAAGUUGGUUCCAGUCAAGAUUUCAAAGAGCCAACCCCAAGACCCAUCGAUUAAUCUCAAGAAAUUACCAAAUGGGUGAUGCCAGAAGGCCUCCCUCUGUUACCAUACCACCUGUUUCUAUUGCUGGAAAGGCCGAAGUUUUUAGGGCUCUUGAAGCUUCACUGGGGAAAUCCUUCAGUUCUGAUGGAUUGACACCACCACCAAACCCUUUGAUCAUAGUCAUAAGUGGACCUAGCGGGGUGGGCAAAGACUCUGUCAUCAAAAGAUUGAGGGAAGUUCGAGAGGGCAUUCACUUUGUUGUCACGGCUACGAGCAGGGCAAAGAGGCCUGGUGAGGUUGAUGGGAAAGAUUACUUCUUUGUUUCAAAAGACGAGUUUCUUUCAAUGGUGGAUAGGGAUGAGCUUUUGGAGUAUGCUCUUGUCUAUGGAGAUUACAAGGGGGUCCCAAAGCCACAGAUCCAAGAGUAUAUGACGAAGGGGUAUGAUAUAGUUCUGAGGGUUGACAUACAAGGGGCAGCAAAACUAAAAUCCAUUUUUGGAGAUUCUGCAGUUUUCAUUUUCCUUGUUGCUGAGAGUGAAGCAGAUCUUGUGGAUCGGCUGAUUGAUCGGAAGACAGAGACCACUGACACCCUUCUUGUAAGGGUGAAGACAGCUCAGGAGGAGAUGAAGCAUCUAAGGCGAUUUGAUUAUGUUGUUGUAAAUGCAAAAGGGAAGCUUGAGAGUGCAGUAAAGCUAGUGGAAUCCAUUAUUGAUGCUGAGAAAGCUAAAAUUCGGCAGAGAAUUGCUGUGAUAUAGCCUAUGAAGAUCUUAUCCUUGUCAUUAAGGAGAUAAGUCUGGAAGAAGGAACAGUGAACGAGUUGCUUUGCCAAAUUUGCCCUUCAAAUUCUAUAUUGAAUGACUCAUUUGAUUGUGCUGUUUGUAACCACAAUCAAGAAUGGCAAAACACAGGGAAGAAGUAAACGGUGGUUAUUUAGUAUUACUAACUUAAUUCAAGGUUUAUCCUACUUUUAUCUAACAAAUUAUGUUUUCCCACUUUAAUUUGCUGAUUAAAACACUGAUUUUUUGAUAUACAUUAUGAAAUGAAUAUUUCAUUUUUUUAAUGUGUCUGAGAACUUUGUCUUUGGCAUGUUGGUAUAUCUAUGCAUGAAGGAAUUUUGCAUGGGUCAGACUUUGUAUAUUGUUUAUUAUUAUUAUUUUAAGCUCACACUUCAAGCAACAUGCCAUGUAAAUGUAUUCUUUGAGGGAGGAACUGGAAGCCAUGAAAGACUGCAUGGUUUAUUACAUGUCGUUGAGAAAUUAUGAAGUAUGAACACAAGUGAAAUGAUGGUCUAAGUGCAUGGUCUAGCAACUGUGGGAGGUUUUGCUUCAACCUCAGUUUCUAAGGUUCCAAACAUGGGAUGAGAAGAAUUGUGAAUGGGUUCUUCUUGCAGGGUAAUUUCUACUAACUGGGUGUGAUAUCAUUGAGCUGCAUUGACUGGUUUUCCCCUCAAAUCCAAAACAGACUUCACCAGCGAAGUCUAUCUCGCGAGCAAUGGUGUUCUUCCAUCUCUGAUCCCCAUAUCAUCAAAGCUGACCACCAUCGAGCAAUCUAGAGGUACACCACCUCCAUCUAAUCAUUUUUUUCUUAUUCUCGACGGUCCUUGGAGAACCAAUCUAAUUCCAUUGUGUAGUUUGAUCGCCCCUCUAAUACUUCAGAUGGUGUUACUACAUUUUUGGGGUUUUUGUGAUGACCAUUUAUUCGUGAACCCUGAAAAUUUUCUAGGCAUCUCUAUUUGACAAUGUAAAAGAAUGUGUUAAAGCCUAUUUCAAAUAUUAUUACUAGCUCACCAUUUGUCUUUUGGGUGGCCUUCGUAA